CCCAGAAGAUGAAUGGAAGGGGAUGGACUUCAUCAAAAUAAACAAGACUUCCCAGUGUACCAGAGGCAUUCGUGGUUUGCACCCUUCGAGGAGACAACAAGUUGGCGGCAACACUGGGGAGUCUAACUGACAAAUUGGAUGGAUCCAGGGUCUUACUGAAACCACGUUCGUGCCUUUAUUCAACACCUCUGUAUUGAGCAGCUACUAUGUCAAGCUCCUGUGUUGGAACCUACACACAAAGAUAAAAGGACCUCAGCCCUGACCUCAAGGCCUGCCCUCAGAUGUGCUGGGGAAAUAGAGACGCACACGGAUAACUAAAACACAAGGCAGAAGACGGCGAGUCCAAUAGGGAGGCAGAGACAAUAAAGUCAGAGGGGAGAGGUUCCUCCCAAGAGAAAAAACAGUGGCGGUUUCUUUCAAUCAGAGACGUCUGAGAUGAGCCUUGCUGACGAUUUGGAGAGCGAGGACUUGGGAGGAAAGGGCAUUUAGCCAGAGGUCCAUGGGAGCCGGCAAGGAAAUGGAAAAUCAUGGGGCACCUCUCGGGCAUUUUGUCUUAAGCAAAGGCAAUGAAAGGGGAAAUAGAGGGAAAUGAGACAGGAAAAAUGAACUAAGGCAGACUGAGGCCUGAAAGCUUGUCUAAGGAGCUGGACUUCCUAUCACAGAUAAUGGAGAGUCAUUAAAGGACUCACCAGAAGCAGGGCAUCUCCAGAGCUGUCUAGGAGCAGAGUGGGAAACACCCGCCUGGCUGAGGAGUGUAGCGUAUACCUGGUAGUCGGGGAGGGUGUGGAGGCAGGGGGACUAGGGGGUGGGAGAGCAUGACUGACUUGUGGGAAAUGAUCAAGGGGACCCCAAACCCGAGGAAGGGAUAAAGCUGGAACCACUGCAAAGAUAUAGCCAUUAAGGGGAUAGAUGAAAGAGGCAGAAAUGAAGAACGAACUGUGAAGAAGUGAUGGAUAAGAUGAUGAGCUGUCUGUGGGAGGUGAACACAUGAUACUGGUCCUUGUGGGAGGCCAGGGCUAGAGACGGAAAUACAGAUGCUGAAGCGAUUAUGGAAGAAGAGUGGGGCUGUGGAGAGCAACACGUGAGGUCACAACCUCGAGGAGUACCCAAACACCUCCCUUUUGGUGGCAAGGGAGAAAAUGAGAAAAGGAAGCAGAGAAGGGAGGUGGGAGAGGAGGGGAGAAAAGCAGGAGGCAACAGCAUCAAAAGCCGCAGAAAGGUCAGGGGCUCUGAGGGCCACGUGGCGACAAGAUUCGGUGAGGAGAGGAGUGGUGAUUUCUGAAAGGAGUUCUAGCAGAGUGGUGGAAGCCAAAGCCAGCUUCUAGCAGGUGGGCAGGGAGACAUGGAGGUGGCGGGAGCACACAUGUGCAGCUGUGUCUGCCCGGAAUGCUCCCCUCGCCCAGCCCUUCUAUCUGCUUAACUUUUUCUUAUCUUUGAGGCCUCGGCUGAGACACCACUUCCUCUAGGCAGCCUUCUCCAAACUCCCUGUCUGGGUUAAGUGCCCUGGGUGCUCCCAUGGCAGCCUGUACGUGUGACCCCACAGGGUGCUUGUGACACUGAGUGUAGAGGUUUGAAGAAUCUUUCUUCUGCACGAGACUCCAAACUACGAGGCAAAGGGUCUCGUCCACGCUGUACCAUGGUGACUAGCACAUCUGAGACACAUAAGACCUAAUAUCUGCAGAAGGGAGGCCGAGCGAGGGAGAGAAGGAAGAAAACCUAAAUACAGCACGGAGCGAGUGUUUUCCAAACGAGGGGAAGGACUGCCUUCUUCAAGAUGCUCUCCUUCCUUACCCCUCCCUCUUUCCCUCGGACCCUGCUCUUUGGCUUCAUCUCCUUGGCCACCAGUUGCGUGGCCUCCACUCCCACUCCAUCCUUCUGGUCUCACCUGGGUUCCUGUCCACUCAGUCAUUGUCAGGCCUCCUAGUGAUAUGUUUAAAAAUACCCUAGAUUUGUCCGUCAACUGCGGGCCCCUUGUCAGUACUUAACUCUGCGUGAACUCCACUCUACCAGUCUUGCUCUAAACUGCCGAGUGUUGCUGGGGAAAAAGAAGUGACAGAGCUCACGCAUUCAAGAGAUCUGAUCUCAGCUGGGCCCAGAAGCAACAUGGUCAUUCUUGGUUUCCCUUCUAAUUGUCCUCCUUAAGGCCCUAUUGGGUCCUGUUCCAAACCUUCUCCAGUCUGCUGGAGGCCCCAUACCCAUUCGUGCCCUUUAUCCCCUGAGACGUAGGCAGGGCCGAUGGAUUUGCCCACCUUCUUCCCCUUCAAUCCUAUCUCCAAGGAGAUGGUGUCUUUCCAUCUUCAAGGCCAGUCCUUUUUCCUUGAAUUAUGGUUCUGUGCAGAUGUUUUUAAUGGAACUUACUGCAAAGGGUGGGGCAUGUCUUAUCCAUCUUUAUAUCACUUAGCACUGAGCUCAGACGCUCUGUUCAAAAAAUGUUAGCUGAAUUUAAAUGAACUCAGAAUCACUGCAAGGUGGCCUCUUGCUACAACACGAGACUUGCCUCCAGGACCAGAUCAGCCCUGAGGAGCAGUCUGACAUGGGCAAGGGAGCGGAGGUCCAGAUGACCGACAAGACAUCGGAUGCAGAGGAUGAGGCAAGUUCUCUGAUGGUUCUGGAAGCAGCUGGUGCAGGAAUUUCCAAGAGGAAGAUGUGGGGCUCCACUCGGAUAUCAGAGAGCUGAGAUACACCAGCAGGGAAUGCAGGCCGAUGACACCCAGUGACAGGUAGGGCCAGUACCCAUCCUCAGGAGGGAAGCUGGUUGUGGGAACCCACUAUACGUGCAGUUCUAGGACUGGAGUCCAGGGGCCUGGGGGAGCUGUGACUUGGGCCUGGAGGCUCAGUCCUGUGACAUCUCUACGACACUGGGUCUGGGUCUGAGGGAAUGAAUGGUGUUCAGCCUCACAAGCUGCAGCUUGAGCACUCGCUGCUCCCAUUCAAACUGAUCCAGGAACACAGAGGACAGCGUCGGGGGUCAGAGCCUCAGUGGGCUUACCCAUGAGCAACCCAGGAGAGCAGGAGAAAUGAGACAGGGGCUUAAAAUGAUCCCCCUCCAGCCCCUCCCUUGAAUGCUUGUCCCUCUCCCUCCAGGGG